rnacentral:lncRNA from 1 species
CCACCACAGAUAACACAACGCGGCUGCGGACGACGCUCGGGUGCUCCACGGCGUGCUGACGAACCUCGGCCCCUCGACUGUCCCGACUGGCCUCUCGGAUACUUAGGCGGUCUUCUGAAAGAUUGCUGACCACUGCUCUCCGCUGCUGGUCUCUUUCCUUUGCCUCGAACCACCACGUCUCUUUUCUUCAUAAUUUCUGCCCCUUUCUCAACAAUCAAUGCCCGAUUCACCACAUCUCUGUAA